GACCUGAACCAAAAUCAAGAGUUGGAUGCUUAACCUGCUGAGCCACCCAGCCAAAGGUGGUCAUGCCCUGCCCUUCCUGCGCUUCAACAGGAAACACGAAGUCAGUCUUCUCAGCAGCCACAAAGGACGGGAGGAGAGAGGGCCUCCAGCUAGCACCUCCAGAUCUCUUCCCACCGCUCUGAACAGAGCCCUCCUGUGAAACCUUCCUUAAGCCACAGUGGCAUAAAGCGAAGAGGCAAUUACUGUUCGUUUGUAUGGAAACGUUCUGAGCAUUCCCAAGUCCAAAAAAACCAUCCCAGGUUUUUCAGAUACUUUAGGCCACAUCUUACUAACGGACACAUAAAAUCCAGCUGAAGCACAGAGGCUCGCAGACAGCUGGGCGCUCGGCGGCUCGAAGCCGAGCUUCGCUCCCAGGGAAGGGGCCCGGCAGUGCCCGGUGCAGAACCAACACCGGUUGCUAGUUCUGCUUUUCGCCUUUUCUCGCGAGAGUGGAAAUCCUCCGACCUCUUUAGGUUAGCGAAAGCAGGUACUGAUGCAGGUCGACUGUGAAAGCAAACGGUGUAACCCAGGCUCUCGAGAAACAGAACUCCUACACUGGUUUUCAAGUAAAGAAGGAAAACCGGUGGCGUAGGAAGACGCUUUAUUAUGUCUUUCGCGCAGACUGGGCCGGGGAAGGGGGGAAGGAGGCACGCCUGAUCUCGGAGGCGGGUCCCAGCCACUCCAGCCGCCGUCCUCCAGGUGACCCAGGGCCUGGGCCCAGCUGCCCCGCCAGGAAGUGCACUUCCUCCCCAGCGGGGGCGCCCCAUGCAGUGGCUCUGAAGACCCCCGCCCAAGCUUUUGUCGAAAGGGAGCACCGAGCUCCUCUUGAUCACGGUCCCGCCCUGUCCUGGGGCUGAUGCCACUAAACUUCCCCUGAGGUGGCCCGGGCUCCUCACCAGGGCUUGACCCGGCACGCCUCACUGUCCCUUUGCCUGUCAGCGGCAGGACUGAAAGGUCCGCGGCCAGCGCCCCAGAGCCACCGUCCCACCCCCCAGAGAGGCUCCGACAGGAAAGCCUGGCCGUGCGGCUCAGCUCUGCUGCUCUG